UGCAUUCUCAAAAAGCGGAGGAAAAGAAACCAACAGGGAUUGCCUUAGUAGCGGCGAGUGAGCGGCAAAAGCUCAAAUUUGAAAUCUGGCGUAUUCUGCGUCCGAGUUGUAAUUUGAAGAAGGAUACUUUGGGGUUGGCUCUUGUCUAUGUUUCUUGGAACAGAACGUCACAGAGGGUGAGAAUCCCGUGCGAUGAGAAGCCCAAUUCCGUGUAAAGUGCCUUCGAAGAGUCGAGUUGUUUGGGAAUGCAGCUCUAAGUGGGUGGUAAAUUCCAUCUAAAGCUAAAUAUUGGCGAGAGACCGAUAGCGAACAAGUACAGUGAUGGAAAGAUGAAAAGAACUUUGAAAAGAGAGUGAAAAAGUACGUGAAAUUGUUGAAAGGGAAGGGCUUGAGAUCAGACUUGGUAUUUUGUAUGUCUUGCUUUCGGGUGGGGCCUCUGCAGUUUACUGGGCCAGCAUCGGUUCGGGUGGUAGGACAAUUGCGAAGGAACGUGGCACUGCUUCGGUGGUGUGUUAUAGCCUUUGUGGAUACUGCCUGUCUGGACCGAGGACUGCGUCAUUUGACUAGGAUGCUGGCAUAAUGAUCUUAAGUCGCCCGUCUUGAAACAGGAGGACCA
rnacentral:rRNA from 1 species